GGGCUGGCUUUGGUAGCACAUAUUCUAAAAUUAGAAAGAUAUAGAGAUUAACAUAGUCCAUGUGCAGAAGACACAUAAAUUUAUGAAGCUUUCUAUAGAUGU
rnacentral:snRNA from 1 species